AGUGAACGCUGGCGGUAGGCCUAACACAUGCAAGUCGAACGGCAGCACAGUAAGAGCUUGCUCUUACGGGUGGCGAGUGGCGGACGGGUGAGGAAUACAUCGGAAUCUACUUUUUCGUGGGGGAUAACGUAGGGAAACUUACGCUAAUACCGCAUACGACCUACGGGUGAAAGCAGGGGAUCUUCGGACCUUGCGCGAUUGAAUGAGCCGAUGUCGGAUUAGCUAGUUGGCGGGGUAAAGGCCCACCAAGGCGACGAUCCGUAGCUGGUCUGAGAGGAUGAUCAGCCACACUGGAACUGAGACACGGUCCAGACUCCUACGGGAGGCAGCAGUAGGGAAUAUUGGACAAUGGGCGGAAGCCUGAUCCAGCCAUGCCGCGUGGGUGAAGAAGGUCUUCGGGUUGUAAAACCCUUUUGUUGGGGAAGAAAAGCAGCAUGUUUAAACCCCGCUGUUCUGACGGUACCCAAAGAAAAAGCCACGGCUAACUUCGUG
rnacentral:rRNA from 1 species